UACGAAGGGUGCAAGCGUUACUCGGAAUUACUGGGCGUAAAGCGUGCGUAGGUGGUUGUUUAAGUCUGCUGUGAAAGCCCUGGGCUCAACCUGGGAAUUGCAGUGGAUACUGGGCGACUAGAGUGUGGUAGAGGAUAGUGGAAUUUCCGGUGUAGCAGUGAAAUGCGUAGAGAUCGGAAGGAACACCUGCGGCGAAGGCGGGUUGCUGGGCUGACACUGACGCUGAGGCGCGAAAGCUAGGGGAGCGAACGGG
rnacentral:rRNA from 1 species